rnacentral:rRNA from 1 species
GAUGAACGCUGGCGGCGUGCCUAAUACAUGCAAGUCGAGCGAACGGACGAGAAGCUUGCUUCUCUGAUGUUAGCGGCGGACGGGUGUGUAACACGUGUAUAACCUACCUAUAAGACUGGGAUAACUUCGGGAAACCGGCGCUAAUACCGGAUAAUAUUUUGAACCACAUGGUUCGAAAGUGAAAGACGGUCUUGGUGUCACUACUCGCUGGAUCCGCGCUGCAUUGGCUAGUUGGUAAGGUAACGGCUUAUUAAGGCAACGAGGCAUAGCCGACGUGAGAGGCGGGUCGGCCGCCCGGGAACGGAGACAGGGUCAAUACGCCUGCGGGAGGCAGCAGUAGGGAACGUGCCGCAAUGGGCGAGAGCAUGACGGAGCGAGGCCGCGUGAGUGACGAAGGUGUUCGGAUCGUAAUACUCUGUUAUGAGUGAAGAACAUAUGUGGAAGGAACUGUGCAGAGCGUGACGGUAACGAAUCAGAAAGCCACGGCUAACUACGUG